ACCUAAAAAUUUAUUUAUAAAAAAAUUGCAUUUUACAAUCAAUAUGAAAAAAAUUAGAACUUACUCUUUUAUCUCAUCAACAAUAGGAUUAAUCAUUGUUGUAAUAGCAACUUUUGAAAAAUGAUUUGGGCAAUAUGAAGAGCCAAGGACAAUUUUUUUACUGCACUUGGACCUGUAAGUAUUAUCAAAGGUGGACUUAAUUCAUCAUAUGGUGUUACAUGUAAGUCAAUUUUAGGGAUGCUUAAUUGUUCUAAUAAAGUUAGUUUUGUGAUAGUACGAGCAGCUGUUAAAUUUAUUGGUGAUGUAAAUAAAGUUGCAGCAGCAAUCUAUUAAAAUAAAUAUCUUAU